rnacentral:sRNA from 1 species
UCCAGAAGAAACGUGGGAAUUUCCCAAAAC